CAUGGUUAGGAAAGCGGAUUGCAGAGAGUGGAUAGGGUAAGAAAUGGACUACUAGAUCUGCUAAUGCUUAGCAGUUCAGAGAAUAUUUUCGAGGUGGGAGUACAUUUGGCACAUGGCCCUAAAUUAUACACCCAUACAUUCUUAUACCCCUUCAUUGGCUGGAAAUACUGUGGUUAGAAAUAAAAACAAAAUCCUAACCCCCCAACUCCUGAAUAGUCUCCCCUCUUAAACCAAGGGGACUGAGUUCCUGAUCUUAUGGGAGGUCAGGCAAACUUCUUCCCUCUUUUGUGAUUUAGACACAACUGACCAGCAUUAAUUAAUGUUGAAAUAGAUCUCAUAAGACAAAUGGACUAUGUGGCAAGAUACCAAAUUAAAAACAAGACCUAAGGCCAUGCCAAGGAGGAGUUAAGUCAUCACCCUAUGCUUAAAGAAUAAAUUAUGUUUGGGCGAACUAAAAGAAUUUUGAAGACUCUUAAAGUUCCAAACCUCUGUGAUACUUUUUCUUCCAUUGCCAUCUAAACCCUUUCCUCCAAAUGCAAACUUUGGUUGUAAUAUAUGUGUUUUUAGGUGUGUUCAUUAAUACGAGAAAGGAAUGCCACUCAUCUGGAUAGUGCUUUUACAACAUUCAUUCACAUUCCCUCCCUUGAUUUUGAAGUAGAAGAAGCAAAUAUUGCUAUUGCAGAAAUCUCAUAAAGCAAGCAUGUGUAAAGGGUACUCCUACACUCUCACAACCGUAAAUCAAAUAUGAUUAUCUCCAAACUAUUCCAACCCCAGGAACUGUGAAAUUUAAGAAAAAGGAAAUGCAAAUAAACUCUCUCUUGGAACACAUUGUAUGGCCUCUCAAGACACGGUUGAUACCUUAUUUCUGAGCUCCAAUAAUAUCCUGUCUACAAUCUCAUCAUGACUCUCACCAUGCUGUAUUGGCGAGUUUCUGUUCAUUUGUGUUUCUCAUGCUCUCCAUACAUCUAUCCAUCCACACAGACAAAAAUAUCUAUUGAAUACCUACUAUGCAUUCAUACAGAUAACGUUCUAAGCUUUAAGGAAGCAAAGGUGAACAAUCAGAGAAAGAUUUUGCUCUCCUGGAAUUUAUAUUCUACUAGGUAAAGAAGAACAUAGAACUGCUAGCAAACAAUAUGGAACUCUGCAAGUUAGAAAAAGGCACAUAGCUUAGGAAAUAGGCAGCAGUGCUGUGUGAAUUCAGAAAAAGUCUCUUCCUCCAGCCAGACUCAGGUCCCUGAAGAGUACAACUUUGGGAACAGAGUGGGCUGGAUUUCAGGACUCACUCUCUCCAGGGCUCCUGAGACCAACACAGCUGCUACCACGAUGAGGUCUUCAAUUCCUUCCGUUGCUUCUGCAACCGAUUUGUACUCCCCCCAAUCAAACAAGCCACCCACGCUCACACAAAGAAAUGACUAUAAACCAAAGCCUACCAGAAUUUGCCACAUCUCAGAAGCCCAGAAAGUAAGAAGGUUCCAGAAGGAUAACUGGUCUAACAUCCUCAUUUGACAGAGACACCAAGGCUCAGAGAAGUUAGGAAAUGUGUCAAAACCAGGACUUGAACUCACUGCCCUGCCUGGAAGAGCAAUUUCUCCCUAAUACACCCACAUCUUCCAUCCUUCCUUUUAAAAGCCCUCUUUUUCCAAGAAAGGAGUGAGCGUGGUCAGUAAGAGACUCAGGAACACUUCGUGGCACAAAACAACUUUCCCAUAAUCCCGUGGGAGCCUCACCAUCCUGACCACCUAAAAUCGCUUACAUUUUUAUUGUACUCCUUUUAUAAGACAUCUUUCUGAAAAUAAAAAUAUAUUUUUAAAAAUCA